UAACCUGCCUAUUAGAGGGGGAUAACUAUUGGAAACGAUAGCUAAUACCGCAUAACAGUAUGUAACACAUGUUAGAUGCUUGAAAGAUGCAAUUGCAUCGCUAGUAGAUGGACCUGCGUUGUAUUAGCUAGUAGGUAGGGUAUGGCCUACCUAGGCGACGAUACAUAGCCGACCUGAGAGGGUGAUCGGCCACACUGGGACUGAGACACGGCCCAG
rnacentral:rRNA from 1 species